rnacentral:rRNA from 1 species
GACGAACGCUGGCGGCGUGCCUAAUACAUGCAAGUAGAACGCAGUUGCGAACGGGUGAGUAACGCGUAGGUAACUGCCUCAUAGCGGGGGAUAACUAUUGGAAACGCUAGCUACUACCGCAUACUGUGAGAUGUACCUGCGUGGUAUUAGCUAGUUGGUGAGGUAAAGGCUCACCAAGGCGACGGUACAGAGCCGACCUGAGAGGGUGGUCGGCCACACUGGGACUGAGACUCGGCCCAGACUCCUACGGGAGGCAGCAGUAGGGAAGCUUCGGAAAGGGACGGAAGUCUGACCAAGCAACGCCGCGUGAGUGAAGAAGGUUUUCGGAGCGGAAAGCUCUGUUGUUAGAGAAGCGGUACCUAACCAGAAAGGGACGGCUAACUACGUGCCAGCAGCCGCGGUAAUAC